rnacentral:rRNA from 1 species
CAGCCGCCGCGGUAAUACGUAGGUUCCGAGCGUUGUCCGGAUUUAUUGGGCGUAAAGUGAGCGCAGGCGGUUAGAUAAGUCUGGAGUUAAAGGCAUUGGCUCAACCAAUGUAUGCUUUGGAAACUGUUAGACUUGAGUGCAGAAGGGGAGAGUGGAAUUCCAUGUGUAGCGGUGAAAUGCGUAGAUAUAAGGAGGAACACCGGUGGCGAAAGCGGCUCUCUGGUCUGUCACUGACGCUGAGGCUCGAAAGCGUGGGUAGCGAACAGGAUUAGAUACCCCUGUAGUCCCUGUCUCUUAUACA